rnacentral:rRNA from 1 species
GGGAGAGGACAACAUGGGAAACUGCCCUGGGGACGAGGAUAGCGUCGGGAAACUGACGGUAAUACUCGAUAAUGUUUGCGGACCAAAGGUGUGAUUCCGCCCCAGGACGUGCCCAUGCCCCAUUAGCUAGUUGGCGGUGUAAUGGACCACCAAGACUAUGAUGGGUAGCUGGUGUGAGAGCACGACCAGCCUCACUGGCACUGAGACACUGGCCAGACACCUACGGGUGGCUGCAGUCGAGAAUCUUCGGCAAUGGACGAAAGUCUGACCGAGCGACGCCGCGUGCGGGAUGAAGGCCUUCGGGUUGUAAACCGCUGUCGAGGGGAAUCAAAUGCAAGGGGGUUCUCCCCCCUGCUUGAGAGAACCCUGGAGGAAGGGGAGGCUAAGCUCGUGCCAGCAGCCGCGGUAAGACGAGCUCCCCAAACGUUAUUCGGUAUCACUGGGCUUAAAGAGUUCGUAGGCGGCGAAGUAGGUGAGGUGUGAAAGCCCUCGGCUCAACCGAG